rnacentral:rRNA from 1 species
GACGAACGCUGGCGGCGUGCUUAACACAUGCAAGUCGAACGGAAAGGCCCUGCUUUUGUGGGGUGCUCGAGUGGCGAACGGGUGAGUAACACGUGAGUAACCUGCCCUUGACUUUGGGAUAACUUCAGGAAACUGGGGCUAAUACCGGAUAGGAGCUCCUGCUGCAUGGUGGGGGUUGGAAAGUUUCGGCGGUUGGGGAUGGACUCGCGGCUUAUCAGCUUGUUGGUGGGUAGUGGCUUACCAAGGCUUUGACGGGUAGCCGGCCUGAGAGGGUGACCGGCCACAUUGGGACUGAGAUACGGCCCAGACUCCUACGGGAGGCAGCAGUGGGGAAUAUUGCACAAUGGGCGGAAGCCUGAUGCAGCAACGCCGCGUGCGGGAUAACGGCCUUCGGGUUGUAAACCGCUUUCGCCUGUGACGAAGCGUGAGUGACGGUAAUGGGUAAAGAAGCACCGGCUAACUACGUG